CAAUAUGUUGGCCAGGCUGGUCUCGAACUCUUGACCUCAGAUGAUCUGCCCGCCUUGGCCCCCCAAAGUGCUGGAAUUACAGGCGUGAGCCACUGUGCCCAGCCCUGUUAAUUUUUUAUGUGUGAUAAUAUUGUUAUUACAUUUAAAGUAUGAUCUACAGACCCUGGGGUCUCCAAGCCCUUUUCUGGGGAUCCAGGAGGUGAAUCUUUUUUUUUUUUUUUUUUUUUUGAGACAUAGUCUCACUCUAUUGCCCAGGCUCGAAUGCAGUGGCAUGAUCACAGCUCACUGCAGCGUCAACCUCCUGGGCUCAAGUGAACCUCCCACCUCAGCUUCCAGAGUAGCUGGAACUACAGGUGCAUGCCACUGCGCCCACCUAAUUUUUGUUUAUUUUUUUGGUAGAGAUGGUUUUGCCAUGUUCCCCAGGCUUGUCUCAAACUCCUGGGCUCAAGGGAUCUGCCUGCCUUGGCCUCCCAAAGUGCUGGGAUUACAGGCAUGAGCCACUGCACCGGCCACCAGUGGUGAUAUUAAUGUAGUUGUUUGAUACUGUAUAAUAAAAGGUGUCAACAUUUAGAACCUCUGCAUGAGCUGGCCAGGUCAGCAAUGUGUUUCUCAGAAACACCCGCUACACUUUCUCUUUAUUUUUCAGGGAAAAUUAAUAGAGGACAAUGUGGUUGUGAAUUUUAGAAGGUCUUGAAAAGUACAGCCCACACACGUGGUGCUUACUCAGUGCUGUUACACAUAAGGCGGUAAGGGGAAUUUAUCUUGUGUGUAUGUGUGUGUGGGGGGAGUUCUCCAUUCUCUUCGUAUAGUUCAGUGUUUAGUCUUUUUAAAAUAUGCAUAGUUUUUUACAAAAAUAGGAUUACGCUGCACAUAUUCUUGUGUGAUCAGUAUUAUUUCAUUUCUCAAUGAAAUAACCCCCACGUGGGUAAUACACAUUAUCCUUUUUAGUGUUUCCCCAAAUUCUCCUUACAUAUCACCACAAUUUAUUUUACGUUUACCUACUAAAAGAUUUUUAGAUCCUUCCCAAGGUUUUGCAAAUAUAAAUGGCAAUGUGAGGAACAUUCUUGUAUAUACAUCUUUCCAUAAGAUUAUAGGUUAUGGUAAUUUAUAAUUUUUAGAAAAAUUUGAUGUGUACACUCACAUCACAAUGUUGUAUAUCCAUCACCACUUUCUCCUUCCAGAACUUUCUCAUUAUCCCAAACAGAAACGCUAUACCGUUUAAGCACUAACUCCCCAUCCCUUUUUAUUCCAGUCCCUGGUAACUCUGUUUUACUUUCUG
rnacentral:lncRNA from 10 species